UAGCUUGCUAAUAAUUCUCUAGUGGCGCACGGGUGAGUAACACGUGAGUAACCUGCCCCCAAGAGUGGGAUAGCCCCGGGAAACUGGGAUUAAUACCGCAUAAAAUCGCAAGAUUAAAGCAGCAAUGCGCUUGGGGAUGGGCUCGCGUCCUAUUAGUUAGUUGGUGAGGUAACGGCUCACCAAGGCGAUGACGGGUAGCCGGUCUGAGAGGAUGUCCGGCCACACUGGAACUGAGACACGGUCCAGACACCUACGGGUGGCAGCAGUCGAGAAUCAUUCACAAUGGGGGAAACCCUGAUGGUGCGACGCCGCGUGGGGGAAUGAAGGUCUUCGGAUUGUAAACCCCUGUCAUGUGGGAGCAAAUUAAAAAGAUAGUACCACAAGAGGAAGAGACGGCUAACUCUGUGCCAGCAGCCGCGGUAAUACAGAGGUCUCAAGCGUUGUUCGGAAUCACUGGGCGUAAAGCGUGCGUAGGCGGUUUCGUAAGUCGUGUGUGAAAGGCGGGGGCUCAACCCCCGGACUGCACAUGAUACUGCGAGACUAGAGUAAUGGAGGGGGAACCGGAAUUCUCGGUGUAGCAGUGAAAUGCGUAGAUAUCGAGAGGAACACUCGUGGCGAAGGCGGGUUCCUGGACAUUAACUGACGCUGAGGCACGAAGGCCAGGGGAGCGAAAGGGAUUAGAUACCCCUGUAGUCCUGGCAGUAAACGGUGCACGCUUGGUGUGCGGG
rnacentral:rRNA from 1 species